GAUGAACGCUGGCGGCGUGCCUAAUACAUGCAAGUCGAACGAGAAUCCACGGCUUCGGCGGUGGAGGAGAGUGGCGUCCGGGUGAGUAACACGUAACUGAUCUGCCCUUCGCAGGGGGAUAACACCGAGAAAUCGGUGCUAAUACCGCGUACGCUCGUGGUAACCAGAAAACCACGAGGAAAGCUCCGGCGGCGAAGGAGGAGGUUGCGUUCCAUCAGCUAGUUGGUAAGGUAACGGCUUACCAAGGUGACGACGGAUAGGGGACCUGAGAGGGUGACCCCCCACACUGGAACUGACACACGGUCCAGACUCCUACGGGAGGCAGCAGUAAGGAAUAUUGCACAAUGGGCGCAAGCCUGAUGCAGCAACGCCGCGUGCAGGAAGAAGGUUUUCGGAUCGUAAACUGCUUUUCUGCGGGAAGAGAAAGGACGGUACCGCAGGAAUAAGUCCCGGCUAACUACGUGCCAGCAGCCGCGGUAAAACGUAGGGGGCAAACGUUAUCCGGAUUUACUGGGCGUAAAGCGCGUGCAGGCGGUUUUUUAAGUCGUGCGUGAAAGCGCCCCGCUCAACGGGGCGAGGUCGGGCGAAACUGAAAAACUUGAGACAGACAGAGGCAAGCAGAAUUCCGGGUGUAGUGGUGAAAUGCGUAGAGAUCCGGAGGAAUACCAGUGGCGAAGGCGGCUUGCUGGGUCUGUUCUGACGCUCAGACGCGAAAGCAUGGGUAGCGAACGGGAUUAGAAACCCCGGUAGUCCAUGCCGUAAACGAUGCAGACUAGGCGUUAGGUGCCUACGGGCGCUGAGUGACGAAGCCAACGCGAUAAGUCUGCCGCCUGGGGACUACGGCCGCAAGGCUAAAACUCAAAGGAAUUGACGGGGGCCCGCACAAGCAGCGGAGCGUGUGGUUUAAUUCGAGGCUACACGAAGAACCUUACCUAGGUUUGACAUACAAGUGGUACCCUGGUGGAAAAAGGGAACGACCUUCGGGAGCUUAUACAGGUGCUGCAUGGCUGUCGUCAGCUCGUGUCGUGAGAUGUUCGGUUAAGUCCGGUAACGAGCGCAACCCUCGGUGUUAGUUACACGUGUCUAGCACAACUGCCCGGUCAAACUGGGAGGAAGGUGGGGAUGACGUCAAGUCAGCAUGGCCUUUAUGCCUAGGGCUACACACACGCUACAAUGGUCGGUACAAUAGGUUGCCAAGCCGCGAGGUGGAGCCAAUCCAAUAAAACCGAUCUCAGUUCGGAUUGCAGGCUGCAACUCGCCUGCAUGAAGUCGGAGUUGCUAGUAAACGCAGGUCAGCUAUACUGCGUUGAAUACGUUCCCGGGCCUUGUACACACCGCCCGUCACGUCAUGGAAGCUGGUCACGCCUGAAGUCGGUGGGCUAACCGCAAGGAAGCAGCUGCCAAAGGCAGGGC
rnacentral:rRNA from 1 species